rnacentral:rRNA from 1 species
UCCUACGGGGCGCAGCAGUGAGGAAUAUUGGUCAAUGGCCGGAAGGCUGAACCAGCCAAGCCGCGUGAAGGACGAAGGUGCCAAGCAUUGUAAACUUCUUUUGUCAAGGGACAAAAUCAGGCUCGAGAGCCUGACCGAGGGUACUUGAAGAAAAAGCAUCGGCUAACUCCGUGCCAGCAGCCGCGGUAAUACGGAGGAUGCGAGCGUUAUCCGGAUUUAUUGGGUUUAAAGGGUGCGUAGGCGGGCUGUUAAGUCAGCGGUAAAAGCCCGGGGCUCAACCCCGGCGGGCCGUUGAAACUGGCUGU